rnacentral:rRNA from 1 species
UAGCGUAGGGCCUAGCGUUGUCCGGAAUCGAUUGGGCGUAAAGAGCUCGUAGGCGGUUCGGCAAGUCACGUGUGAAAUCUCCACGCUUAACGUGGAGGCGCCACGUGAAAACUGCCGUGACUCGAGUCCGGUAGGGGAGUGUGGAAUUCCCGGUGUAGCGGUGAAAUGCGCAGAUAUCGGGAGGAACACCAGUAGCGAAGGCGGCACUCUGGGCCGGUACUGACGCUGAGGAGCGAAAGCGUGGGGAGCGAACAGG